rnacentral:miRNA from 1 species
GGGCACACGAGGGAACACUCUCCCCUGUGUGCUCCCUCUUCAGCUCCCUCGCGCUGCCGCGUACUGAUGCCGGAGCCGGAAGAUGGCUUCAUCUUCCGGCUCCGGUAUCAUUGCGGUGCGCGAGGGAGCUGAAGAGGGAGCACACAGGGGAGAGUGCUUCCUCGUGCGC